CUGGCCCCGAUGAAAAGAUUUAGGAACUUUGGCCGCUCAAAAAGUCGCAUCCAUUUCAGACAUCCAGAAGGGACCCCAGAAGUGGCACCUGCCCCACACGGGGACAUCUGGAAGAGUGGUUUCCGGCCGCCCUGGGGCUGUACAGAGUAAGCCACUCGAGGACUAAGGACCCUUCGUCGCCUGGAUCCCAGGCGAGCAUUACCACCCCUCCCCACCGGCCUCGCGGGGCAGGAAGGCGCUGAGCAGGAAUGCCACAAGAUAGAGACCACUGUGAGGUUCCUGUUAAUGAUGAAGACAUCAGCACACAGAGCAGGACUACAAAUCUCCUUCCCGGCGCUGGAGAGAUGGCUCAGCGGUGAAGAGCUCUUUCAGAGGACCUGAGUUCAAUCCCCAGCACCCACAGAGCAGCCCACAACUGUCUGUGACUCCAGUUCCAGGGAAUCUGACAACCCAAGACUGACAUACAAGGAGGCA